AUUGAACGCUGGCGGAAUGCUUUACACAUGCAAGUCGAACGGCAGCACGGGGGCAACCCUGGUGGCGAGUGGCGAACGGGUGAGUAAUGUAUCGGAACGUGCCCAGUCGUGGGGGAUAACGUAGUGAAAAUUACGCUAAUACCGCAUACGAUCUAUGGAUGAAAGCGGGGGAUCGCAAGACCUCGCGCGAUUGGAGCGGCCGAUAUCGGAUUAGGUAGUUGGUGGGGUAAAGGCUCACCAAGCCGACGAUCUGUAGCUGGUCUGAGAGGACGACCCGUCACACUGGGACUGAGACACGGACCAGACUCCUACGGGAGGCAGCAGUGGGGAAUUUUGGACAAUGGGCGCAAGCCUGAUCCAGCAAUGCCGCGUGCAGGAUGAAGGCCUUCGGGUUGUAAACUGCUUUUGUACGGAACGAAACGGCGAGCUCUAAUACAGUUUGCUAAUGACGGUACCGUAAGAAUAAGCACCGGCUAACUACGUGCCAGCAGCCGCCGUAA
rnacentral:rRNA from 1 species